rfam:Cavia porcellus supercont2_112 genomic scaffold, whole genome shotgun sequence.
UCAAUAACCAUACCACCCUGAUUGUGCUCGAUCUCAUCUGAUCUAGGAAGCUAAGCAGGGUCAGGCCUGGUUAAUACUUGAAUGGGAUACUAAUAGUCUUAGGGGUUUCAAUGGU